UUAUGGCUCAGGAUGAACGCUGGCGGCGUGCCUAAUACAUGCAAGUCGAACGCUAAUCUCGGAUUAGAGUGGCGAACGGGUGAGUAACACGUAGGUAACCUGCCCAUAAGACGAGGAUAACUACUGGAAACGGUAGCUAAUACUGGAUAGUAUAUAGAAUCGCAUGAUUUUAUAUUUAAAGGUGCUGCAAGGCACUACUUAUGGAUGGACCUGCGGCGCAUUAGCUAGUUGGUGAGGUAACGGCCCACCAAGGCGACGAUGCGUAGCCGGACUGAGAGGUUGAACGGCCACAUUGGGACUGAGACACGGCCCAGACUCCUACGGGAGGCAGCAGUAGGGAAUUUUCGGCAAUGGACGCAAGUCUGACCGAGCAACGCCGCGUGAAGUGAUGAAGUUCUUCGGAAACGUAAAAUUCUUUUAUUUGGAAAAAACGUAUAGUGUAGGAAAUGACAUUAUAGUGAUGGUACCAAAUGAAUAAGCCCCGGCUAACUAUGUGCCAGCCGCUGC
rnacentral:rRNA from 1 species